UACAGAGGGUGCAAGCGUUAAUCGGAAUUACUGGGCGUAAAGCGUGCGUAGACGGUUACAUAAGUCGGGUGUGAAAGCCCCGGGCUCAACCUGGGAAUUGCAUUCGAGACUGCGUAGCUAGGGUGCGGAAGAGGGAAGCGGAAUUUCCGGUGUAGCGGUGAAAUGCGUAGAUAUCGGAAGGAACACCAGUGACGAAAGCGGCUUCCUGGUCCAGCACCGACGUCAGGCACGAAAGCGUGGGGAGCAAACAGG
rnacentral:rRNA from 1 species